UUGAAUGAACUUGGUGUGGUUGUUGCUGGCCCUUUCGGGGGUAUGUGCACACCCGCCAUCCUCAUCUCUCCACCUGUGCACCUCUUGUAGACUUGGAUUGACUUUCCGAGGCAACUCGGUCGGGAGGAUUGCUGGCACUAGCUGGCUUUCUUUGCAUUUCCAGGUCUAUGUUUUUCAUAUACCCCAUUGUAUGUAACAGAAUGUAAUAUUGGGCCCUUGUGCCUAUAAACCUUAUA
rnacentral:misc_RNA from 1 species